GUAAAUGUGUGGCUGGGCUAUGUUUUACAGGGGGUUGUGUCUGUGGGUCAGUGUAGCCAGGGAUGACACUGAGGCAUUCAUGUGUGGUUGGUGUUGGGGGAGUCAGUGUGGUUUCGGGUCAUUCAUGGUUGAGAAUUCAACAUAUAGUGGGUCUUGCAGUGUGUGGGUCUUUGCAAGUUGUGUUAUUAGGUUGGAAGAACAAGGUGCAGGCAGAUUUGGGUGGUCAGUGUGGGUUGGGGAUCAGCUGGUCAUUUUGAGUUCCUGUGGGAGCAGUUAGGAUGUGGAGGACAUUGGGAUGGGGAUGGACAAAUGGUCUCCCGGGAAGGUUCCCAGAGGAAGGGAGCACUGUAGGCAGAGAUUCCAAGGCUGUGCCGGCAUCGGUUUGUGAUUUUGACAGUAGGUUCCACACACAGUGGGGUUUACAGGUCAGCUGGUCAGCAUGUGACUAUGAGGGCAAGAAAGGGUCCUAGGAGUUGGUAGAAAGAGUGUAUUUGGAGAGUCAGUGUCUUGUUUAGGGUGGAGAGUUCUGGGUGUGAUCUUUUCAAAUUGAGCUUAGAGCGUGCAGAAACCAGGGGAUAUAUAGAAGUCAAGUUGGCUUGAAUAUUUGGGUAAAAAUACUGUAAUAAAUUGUACCAUUGCCCUGCCCAUACCCUCUGGUAUUCACCAUUCCUUAUACACUGAUGGCUUUUGCACCUGCAGCUCUGCCUGGGCGUGUGGUCUAGCUGUGGGAGCAGGUUCCUUUCUCACCAGGCAGGUGCCCUCAGUGACAGCCCAACACUCAUGAUGGGCAGGAAUUGAGAGGGAGAUACCCCUGCUUCGGGUCCUCAGCAGGACUGAGCCCCUUUCCUAAGGAGCCUCUUGCUCAUGAAGCACCCUGUGUGGGCUUCCUCCCCUGUCCUGGCUCACAUCUCAAGUCCCCACUCUCCUAUCAUUCUUCCCAGGAUCACACGAACAACUUGCCCUCAAAUCCUUGUCCUGGGUUUGCUUCUGGGGAAUCCAACACAAAAGAAACAUUUUUUUUAUGAUAAAGCUAACAAAGGUACAUAAUGGAGCAUGGAUUGCACAUGACUUUUCAAGGUAAAACACAAGCUAGGCUAGAGUUGUGCAUGCUCCUGGCGGCUCACCAGAGUGAAAAGUGUUAUUCACUCAGUGGUGUCCAACUCUUUUUGCAAGCCCGUGAACUGUAGCCCGCCAGACUCCUCAGUCCAUGGGAUUCUCCAGGCAAGAACACUGGAUUGGGUAGCCAUUCCCUUCUCCAGGGGAUCUUCCAGACCCAGGGAUUGAACCCAGGUCUCUUGCAUUGCAGGCAGACCCUUUAUAAUCUGAGCAAACAGGGAAGUCCUCAAAAGGAGCUUUAAUUUAAUUUGGGAAUCUGGUUGUAAGUCAGAGGGCAAAGGGGGUGCAUAAUGCAGUCCCUAGAGGUCAGCUUCCUGAGCACAGACAGCACAGAGAAGGAUGGGGCAGGAAUGUGGCAGCAGGGGAGGGGGAUUGGAAAAUUUUGAGCACAGCUGUGCACUUGAGUCUGCAGGUCGGCGUGUGGCUGGGGUACAGCGAGUGUGACAGAGAGAUUUCCUCUUCCAUUUCUUCUAUUGUAGAGUCAGCUGGGGACUGAGGUGGCUCGGCUUAGAGAGCAGUUACAUUUGGGGUGGUCUGCGUCCUGAUGACUUUGUGGGAAUCGAUAUGCACUUGCUAUCGGAUGACCAGUUUGGGUCAUUAUGUGGCAGUGACCAGCGUGUAUGUCAGCCCUGCGGUCUCUGAGCUGGGGAUCCCCUCUGACCCAGCAUACUCCACCCCUCCCCCUGCAGUCCUGACCUUCCAGAGGCUGGGUAGGUUUCUGCAGUGUGAGCCUCUGCUCCCUGUGAGGCUUGGGAGCUGGCUUCCUGGAGUGAGGGUCAGGGUCAGAGUUCGAGUCCUGGCCACGUCGUAUAUGUGUCAGAAUGAGCAAUGCCUUUUUAGGUCACAUAUACUUUGGACUUCAACACUGCUUUAUGUAGGCCG
ensembl:lncRNA